UGCCUAUCACAAAGUCACUUGCUGU
rnacentral:piRNA from 1 species